ACACGUGGUAUCCUGUCUGAAUAUGGGGGGACCAUCCUCCAAGGCUAAAUACUCCUGACUGACCGAUAGUGAACCAGUACCGUGAGGGAAAGGCGAAAAGAACCCCGGCGAGGGGAGUGAAAAAGAACCUGAAACCGUGUACGUACAAGCAGUGGGAGCACCUUCGGGUGUGACUGCGUACCUUUUGUAUAAUGGGUCAGCGACUUAUAUUCUGUAGCAAGGUUAACCGUAUAGGGGAGCCGCAGGGAAACCGAGUCUUAACUGGGCGUUAAGUUGCAGGGUAUAGACCCGAAACCCGGUGAUCUAGCCAUGGGCAGGUUGAAGGUUGGGUAACACUAACUGGAGGACCGAACCGACUAAUGUUGAAAAAUUAGCGGAUGACUUGUGGCUGGGGGUGAAAGGCCAAUCAAACCGGGAGAUAGCUGGUUCUCCCCGAAAGCUAUUUAGGUAGCGCCUCGUGAACUCAUCUUCGGGGGUAGAGCACUGUUUCGGCUAGGGGGUCAUCCCGACUUACCAACCCGAUGCAAACUACGAAUACCGAAGAAUGUUAUCACGGGAGACACACGGCGGGUGCUAACGUCCGUCGUGAAGAGGGAAACAACCCAGACCGCCAGCUAAGGUCCCAAAGUCAUGGUUAAGUGGGAAACGAUGUGGGAAGGCACAGACAGCCAGGAUGUUGGCUUAGAAGCAGCCAUCAUUUAAAGAAAGCGUAAUAGCUCACUGGUCGAGUCGGCCUGCGCGGAAGAUGUAACGGGGCUAAACCAUGCACCGAAGCUGCGGCAGCGACACUAUGUGUUGUUGGGUAGGGGAGCGUUCUGUAAGCCUGCGAAGGUGACCUGUGAGGGUUGCUGGAGGUAUCAGAAGUGCGAAUGCUGACAUAAGUAACGAUAAAGCGGGUGAAAAGCCCGCUCGCCGGAAGACCAAGGGUUCCUGUCCAACGUUAAUCGGGGCAGGGUGAGUCGACCCCUAAGGCGAGGCCGAAAGGCGUAGUCGAUGGGAAACAGGUUAAUAUUCCUGUACUUGGUGUUACUGCGAAGGGGGGACGGAGAAGGCUAUGUUAGCCGGGCGACGGUUGUCCCGGUUUAAGCAUGUAGGCUGAUUGUCCAGGCAAAUCCGGAUAAUCAAGGCUGAGGUGUGAUGACGAGGCACUACGGUGCUGAAGUAACAAAUGCCCUGCUUCCAGGAAAAGCCUCUAAGCAUCAGGUAACAUCAAAUCGUACCCCAAACCGACACAGGUGGUCAGGUAGAGAAUACCAAGGCGCUUGAGAGAACUCGGGUGAAGGAACUAGGCAAAAUGGUGCCGUAACUUCGGGAGAAGGCACGCUGGUGUGUAGGUGAAGUCCCUGCGGAUGGAGCUGAGACCAGUCGAAGAUACCAGCUGGCUGCAACUGUUUAUUAAAAACACAGCACUGUGCAAACACGAAAGUGGACGUAUACGGUGUGACGCCUGCCCGGUGCCGGAAGGUUAAUUGAUGGGGUUAUCCGUAAGGAGAAGCUCUUGAUCGAAGCCCCGGUAAACGGCGGCCGUAACUAUAACGGUCCUAAGGUAGCGAAAUUCCUUGUCGGGUAAGUUCCGACCUGCACGAAUGGCGUAAUGAUGGCCAGGCUGUCUCCACCCGAGACUCAGUGAAAUUGAACUCGCUGUGAAGAUGCAGUGUACCCGCGGCAAGACGGAAAGACCCCGUGAACCUUUACUAUAGCUUGACACUGAACAUUGAGCCUUGAUGUGUAGGAUAGGUGGGAGGCUUUGAAGCGUGGACGCCAGUCUGCGUGGAGCCAACCUUGAAAUACCACCCUUUAAUGUUUGAUGUUCUAACGUUGGCCCCUUACCGGGGUUGCGGACAGUGUCUGGUGGGUAGUUUGACUGGGGCGGUCUCCUCCCAAAGCGUAACGGAGGAGCACGAAGGUUAGCUAAUCCUGGUCGGACAUCAGGAGGUUAGUGCAAUGGCAUAAGCUAGCUUGACUGCGAGCGUGACGGCGCGAGCAGGUGCGAAAGCAGGUCAUAGUGAUCCGGUGGUUCUGAAUGGAAGGGCCAUCGCUCAACGGAUAAAAGGUACUCCGGGGAUAACAGGCUGAUACCGCCCAAGAGUUCAUAUCGACGGCGGUGUUUGGCACCUCGAUGUCGGCUCAUCACAUCCUGGGGCUGAAGUAGGUCCCAAGGGUAUGGCUGUUCGCCAUUUAAAGUGGUACGCGAGCUGGGUUUAGAACGUCGUGAGACAGUUCGGUCCCUAUCUGCCGUGGGCGCUGGAGAAUUGAGGGGGG
rnacentral:rRNA from 1 species